CUUCCCAUUAACUCACCACCAACCACUCAGAAGAAUGCCCAUGAGCUGACCACACCCCACUCCUUGAACACUGUAAGACUCCUCACUACCGCCUUCGGGGUGGGAUGCACAGUUUAGAGGGCACUGCUCUGCUGUGGUUCCCUGAGUCUGGCAGAGAAAUGAAGCUAUUCAUUUUUACUUCACCCAAAACUCUGUCUCCAUGAUUCAGUUCUGUGCCGGUGUGCAGAAGCCAAGUUUAAGCAACACUCCUGAGCAGGAAUUCCAUAGGUACGAUUAAGUUAUGAAAUCAAUUGAUUACCAAGAGCGGGAUUAUCCAUGUGGGUGUUAACGAAUCACAAAACUCUAGGUCUGAGUCAGAGUCAUGAGAACUUGAUGCACCCUUUCUGGCUUGGAGAUGAAGGAGGCCUUGCAGCAAGAGAUGCUGGUGGAAUGUCAGACCAAGGAGCAGUCCCAGUGGACAGUCAGUCAGAAAGGAAACCAGAGACCACAGUGUUAAAACUGUAAAAAACUGAAUUUUUCGUGGAAUAUAAAUUGCUUUGAAAUUAAACAUGGAAGCUGACUUCUCCCAGAACCUCCAGAAGAACUCAGCCUGAGGGACCCCUCUGAGUCAGAUUUGUGUUAACCCUGAGCAGACCAGCCAUGUGGUACCAGGCUUUUGACCUACAGAAAUGGUGAGGUCCCUGGUUAUGAAUAUGUUUGAGAGCUUCUGUGGGCUAUAAAACAAGCCUGGGCUGGCCUGAUCAUAGGGUGCCAUGCACUCUAAUGAGAGAAAGAACAAACACAGAUAAACAAAACUGACCCAGCCCAGGCCCUCAAGGAGAUGACGUCAUUCAGAGAAGAAUGAUAUGGAUGGAAUUAGGAUGAAGUAUAAUAAAUGCCAUGAAGGAAGCAAUAUGGAAUAUCAUGAAAGUACCCACCUCUGGCUGUAAUGACCUUUUGGCAAUCAGAAAAGCUUCCCCCUUGCAAGGAAAACUUUAACCAGGAGACUGAAACAAACUAACAAAAAUAAACAAACGAAACCUCCAAACUCCCUUGGUUGACUGUUUCCAUAUCAAAUCAGUCCACCUGCCAUCAAACUUUGAACAAGCCAUCACAGUUGUAAACAGAACAUAAUUAUUGGCGGUGACUGGUUCCAGGGCCCUAAAUUCAUGGAAAUUACUUAGGUCAUUAUUCCAUCAUAGAAGCAUUUCCAUAUGCAUCACUAUUAAUGUGAAAGACACCUUUCUUCUUUGAAAGCAAUAAUUAACGUUUUUAAAAGUUCUCUUGGAAGUGCUUAUCUCUGUUCAAUAAAACACUAAAGUUAUA